AAGUGCUCGAAGUAUCAGGAGGCACACACAUUACUUCAUUACAGGGCACCUAGCUCUGCCUGGGGCAGCCAUGAGAGUGGGAGACAGGAGGAGCACAGCUUCUUUCUUAGGCCCUAUUCCAGCCUUUUCUGAAUCAAGGAAACCUCUUCAAGAUGCAUUGUCUAAAUCAGAGGUGUGCAUGUAAAUUAGGUGGGUGGUCAGAGAGUCUGCUUCCUGGCCCAGUUUGUCUGCUGGGGUGAGGAGGAAGGAGUCAAGAGCAAGAUAAAAUUGAAGUCAGCACUGGCAGCAAUGGGUCAGUUAUCAAGAGCUACACAGCUGGCAUAAAGCCGUUUGCAGGAGCUGCUGCUUCUGUUUCCUCUGGAUGCUUGACACCAUCACAUCUUGCGUCCAAGCCUUUGCAGACAGGAAGGAGGAGAUGGAUGCAGAGGCUGAGGAUGGGAGGACAGUGCUGGAGGAAAUCAGCUUUGCCUUUAUUUCUACCUGGACCUGAAGUCACUUGAAGCAAAACACAGAACAUGGAAUUGAAUGCAGUCAAAUUGAAGUAUUUUGGCACAACAUCCAAUUCAUAUGAUGAUACAAGCUGAUCAAGGAACAGAAGUAUCAGAAAAUGUAGACUUACGGGUAUCAUCUUGGCAUAAGGGGAUAGUACUCUCUUUUUACCUAAAUUUACUACUUCUUCCUAUGAAGAGAGUGUAAAAUCAGAGCAUCUCAGCAGCAUUGCCACGUAGAAAAAGAUCUGGAGAAGUGAAACUGAUCUUCUAUAUAUAAAGUUAUAACUCCAAAAGAGGUUGUAAAUAACAAAGCUGUCUUUGUCAGCUGAGUACAGAAUUGAUGGAUAAAAGUGCAGCUUCACAUAUUAGCGAGGGCCGAACUGUAAAUACCUUCAU